GGUCGAUUGGUGUAGCGGUUAUCACGUCUGCUUUACAAAGAGGUCCUUCCAAAAUCUCUUCCUAACGCAGCAGGUCCCCGGUUCGAUCCCGGGAUCGAUCA